UACGUAGGGGGCUAGCGUUGUCCAGAAUCAUUGGGCGUAAAGCGCGCGUAGGCGGCCCGGUAAGUCCGCUGUGAAAGUCAAAGGCUCAACCUUUGAAUGUCAGCGGAUACUGCCAGGCUAGAGUCCGGAAGAGGCGAGUGGAACUCCUGGUGUAGCGGUGGAAUGCGCAGAUAUCAGGAAGAACACCGACGGCGAAGGCAGCUCGCUGGGACGUUACUGACGCUGAGACGCGAAAGCGUGGGGAGCAAACAGG
rnacentral:rRNA from 1 species